rnacentral:rRNA from 1 species
AGUAACGCGUGAGGAACCUGCCUUGAAGAGGGGGACAACAGUUGGAAACGACUGCUAAUACCGCAUAAGCCCACGGCUCGGCAUCGAGCAGAGGGAAAAGGAGCAAUCCGCUUUGAGAUGGCCUCGCGUCCGAUUAGCUAGUUGGUGAGGUAAUGGCCCACCAAGGCGACGAUCGGUAGCCGGACUGAGAGGUUGAACGGCCACAUUGGGACUGAGACACGGCCCAG